rnacentral:rRNA from 1 species
ACGCUGGCGGCACGCCUAACACAUGCAAGUCGAACGAAGUAGCAAUACUUAGUGGCAGACGGGUGAGUAACAUGUGGGUAUCUGCCCUUUGGCCUGGAAUAACACGAGGAAACUUGUGCUAAUACCGGAUAAGUCUUUACAGAGAAAGCUUUAUGCACCAUUGGAUGAGCCCGCACUUGAUUAGUUUGUUGGUGGGGUAAUGGCCUACCAAGACUGUGAUCAAUAGCUGAUUUGAGAGGAUGAUCAGCCACAUUGGGACUGAGACACGGCCCAAACUCCUACGGGAGGCAGCAGUGGGGAAUCUUGCACAAUGGAGGAAACUCUGAUGCAGCGAUGCCGCGUGAGUGAAGAAGGCCCUUGGGUUGUAAAGCUCUUUCGUCGGGGAAGAAAAUGACUGUACCCGAAUAAGAAGGUCCGGCUAACUUCGUGCCAGCAGCCGCGGUAAUACGAAGGGACCUAGCGUAGUUCGGAAUUACUGGGCUUAAAGAGUUCGUAGGUGGUUGAAAAAGUUGGUGGUGAAAUCCCAGAGCUUAACUCUGGAACUGCCAUCAAAACUUUUCAGCUAGAGUAUGAUAGAGGAAAGCAGAAUUUCUAGUGUAGAGGGUGAAAUUCGUAGAUAUUAGAAAGAAUACCAAUUGCGAAGGCAGCUUUCUGGAUCAUUACUGACACUGAGGAACGAAAGCAUGGGUAGCGAAGAGGAUUAGAUACCCUCGUAGUCCAUGCCGUAAACGAUGUGUGUUAGACGUUGGAAAUUUAUUUUCAGUGUCGCAGGGAAACCGAUAAACACACCGCCUGGGGAGUACGACCGCAAGGUUAAAACUCAAAUGAAUUGACGGGGACCCGCACAAGUAGUGGAGCAUGUGGUUUAAUUCGAAGAUACGCGCAGAACCUUACCAACACUUGACAUGUUCGUCGCGACUCUAAGAGAUUAGAGUUUUCGGUUCGGCCGGACGAAACACAGGUGCUGCAUGGCUGUCGUCAGCUCGUGUCGUGAGAUGUUGGGUUAAGUCCCGCAACGAGCGCAACCCUCACUUUUAGUUGCCAUCAUUAAGUUGGGCACUCUGAAAGAACUGCCAGUGAUAAGCUGGAGGAAGGUGGGGAUGACGUCAAGUCCUCAUGGCCCUUACGUGUUGGGCUACACACGUGCUACAAUGGUAUCUACAACAGGAAGCAAGACUGCGAAGUUAAGCAAAUCCCUAAAAGAUACCUCAGUUCGGAUUGCACUCUGCAACUCGAGUGCAUGAAGCUGGAAUUACUAGUAAUCGUGGAUCAGCGUGCCACGGUGAAUGCGUUCCCGGGUCUUGUACACACCGCCC